rnacentral:rRNA from 1 species
CACUUCUAAGGAAGGCAGCAGGCGCGCAAAUUACCCAAUCCUGACUCAGGGAGGUAGUGACAAGAAAUAACAAUAAACCGGCUUAUGCCGGUUUAAUUGGAAUGAGUACAAUUUAAACAUCUUAACGAGGAACAAUUGGAGGGCAAGUCUGGUGCCAGCAGCCGCGGUAAUUCCAGCUCCAAUAGCGUAUACUAAAGUUGUUGCAGUUAAAAAGCUCGUAGUUGGAUUUCUGUGGGGACGGAGCGGCCGGCCGCACAUCGCGGUUCGAGCUAGCGCUUUCCCUACAUCCUGCCGCGAACCGUGCUACCAUUAAUUUGGUGGCGCCGGGGAUCGGCUCGAUUACUUUGAGAAAAAUAGAGUGUUCAAAGCAGGCCACAUGCCUUGAAUAAGUUAGCAUGGAAUAAUAACUAAGGACUUCGGUUCUAUUUUGUUGGUGUUCGGGACUGAAGUAAUGAUUGAUAGGGACAGUUGGGGCGGUCUGUAUUCCAAAGCGAGAGGUGAAAUUCUUAGACCUUCGGAAGACAAACAGCUGCGAAAGCGUUCCGCAAGGAUGUUCCCUUUGAUCAAGAACGAAAGUUGGGGGAUCGAAGACGAUCAGAUACCGUCGUAGUCUCAACUAUAAACUAUACCAGCUAGGGAUCGGCCAACGUUAUUUCAUACCGACUUGGUCGGCACCUUAUGAGAAAUCAAAGCAUCUGGGUUCCGGGGGGAGUAUGGUCGCAAGGCUGAAACUUAAAGGAAUUGACGGAAGGGCACCACCAGCCGUGGAGCCUGUGGCUUAAUUUGACUCAACACGGGAAAACUUACCAGGUCCAGACAUAGUAAGGAUUGACAGAUUGAUAGCUCUUUCUUGAUUCUGUGGGUGGUGGUGCAUGGCCGUUCUUAGUUGGUGGAGUGAUCUGUCUGGUUAAUUCCGUUAACGAACGAGACCCCAGCCUGCUAAAUAGCGCGCGUGAGCUUUGCUCGCGGCGAGCUUCUUAGAGGGACUCUGAUGCGCGAUAGCACAUGGAAGUUUGGGGCAAUAACAGGUCUGUGAUGCCCUUAGAUGUUCUGGGCCGCACACGGGCUACACUGGCGCCUGCAACGAGCAUAUCAGCUGGCCCGAGAGGGUCUUGGCUAAUCUUUUGAACCGGCGCCGUGCUUGGGAUUGACCUUUGCAAUUGUUGGUCAUGCAACGAGGAAUGCCUUGUAAACGCGAGUCAUCAGCUCGCAUUGAAUACGUCCCUGCCCUUUGUACACACCGCCCGUCGCUCCUACCGAUGAAUGUUCCGAUGAAAUUUUCGGAGAGCACCUGUGAACUUGGCUCUGCCUUGCGAACGGGAGGCUCAAAGUCACUUAAAUCUGAACAUUU